rnacentral:rRNA from 1 species
UGGGGAAUAUUGGACAAUGGGGGCAACCCUGAUCCAGCAAUGCCGCGUGUGUGAAGAAGGCCUGCGGGUUGUAAAGCACUUUCAAUUGGGAAGAAAAGCAGUCGGUUAAUACCCGGCUGUCUUGACGUUACCUUUACAAGAAGCACCGGCUAACUCCGUGCCAGCAGCCGCGGUAAUACGGAGGGUGCGAGCGUUAAUCGGAAUUACUGGGCGUAAAGCGCGCGUAGGCGGUUGUGUAAGUCGGAUGUGAAAGCCCAGGGCUUAACCUUGGAAUUGCAUUCGAAACUGCACAGCUAGAGUAUGGGAGAGGGAAGCGGAAUUUCCGGUGUAGCGGUGAAAUGCGUAGAUAUCGGAAGGAACAUCAGUGGCGAAGGCGGCUUCCUGGACCAAUACUGACGCUGAGGUGCGAAAGCGUGGGUAGCGAACAGGAUUAGAUACCCCUGUAGUCC